rnacentral:rRNA from 1 species
AUGCGCUCCACAAACUUAAACUGGCUCAACUCGGCGAACAUUGCUCUCAUCCCCAAGAAGGAUGGUGCGGAAUGCAUCUCGGAUGUCCGCCCCAUUAGCCUCAUCCACGCCAUCGCGAAGAUCUUUGCCAAGAUGAUGGCCAACCGUCUGGCCCCCCACAUGCAUGACCUUGUCUCCAACGCCCAGAGUGCAUUCAUCAAAAAGAGAAGCAUCCAUGAUAACUUUUUGUUCGUC